ACUGAUAAAGGUCCAAUUUUGAGAGAGAAAACACAGUAAUUUGAAUAGGAGAAAUUUAAUAUAAAGGUUUGCCAGCUGUAACAGGUAGCUGGCAUUAUAAGGGAGUGGCUAAUAAAAGUUAAGAAAACUCAGAAGAACAUAGGAAUAGAAGACAGAAGGGGCAGCCACUACUCCCAGGGCUGGACUGGGGAACUUGCUUUAAAUCAGCCCUUUAGGAUGAAAAAGGACAGAAGACGCUGCUCACCAGGAAUUUCUCACUAGAGGCACUUUCCUACAAAACCACUUGAAGAGGUGCCAGAUUGCUUUUUACUGAAAGAAUGCAACAAAGAGAGCUGCCAAGAAAAUACAGUUAUUCCCCCAAAUAGUUCAAAGAACUAUGCCAGUUACCAUGGACACCACAUGUUGAGAUGCUAAAGAGUCAGAAUGGGUCUGUGAGUGAUUAUCUGGAAUGCUGGACAUGUAGAGUUUGUAUGGAGAGUGAGUACUGCGCUAGACAUGGAACAAAUAGAGACCAAAGACAGCAAGACUGACGGCAGCUCAACGGGGGGAGAUAUAAUUCUUAUUUUUUUCAUCUUCCUUCAGGCACUGUAGAAGUCUCGCAUAUAUGAUCAUUUAAAAUUUCGCUGAAGUCAUGUCUGAAUUCUGCACACUGCCUUAUGGAUGUGGGAGAGGUGACUAAACUGAGUCAACGCAGUCAACCACCCAGGACUUGCAAUUCCAGGGGGUUGCAUCCACCUAACCCUCCGGGGUUCUGGCUUCGGAUAGUGUUUGAUCAAUGGAAGCAACAAAAGAAGAUUGGAGGACAUGAAGACAGGUUACUGGAUGAUAUUCGACAUGAGCUGCAAUCCUCCAUCUGAGGUCCCAACUUUUCCAGAAGGCUUCUGUCCUGUUGCGCUCAUUGGAUUCUGCAUUAUGGGAUUCUCUUGAAGUGUGUGAAGAAUAAUGAGCUAAAUAAAGAGGAAAAACAAAAGAAAACAAAAACUGCAGGGACUUUUAUAACUAUCAUUGAUUGCCAGCUUAAGCCUGCUGGACUCUUCACAAAACUAUAUAUGCUUCAAGCUUAAUAUUUAAUUUUGUAAUUGGAACAUUUAUAAUCAUAUUAUGCAUUUAAUAAGGAUGCUCUAAUUCAGAUUUACUAUUAUCAGGAAAUUAAAUUUGGAGUUACAGUAAUGCAUGCAUAUAUAUGUGUGGGUGUGAGUGUGCAUAUACCUAUAUAUGUAUAUACAUAUAUAAAGUAAACGCCUUCUUUUAACGUGUGUUUUAAGUAUAGCUUCCAUGUCCUAGUUAAUUCAGCACCCUCCCUUUUAUCCUUUCCUUGCCAUUGUCCUCUCUACUAGACUACAAUAAAAACAAAAAACUAUGAAAGUAAGCAGCUUAUAAUCAUAAUUUUAAUCAAUGUAGCCUAUGCAAGCUUUAAGAAACAUACGUCUAACAUCUUAGAAAGAAAGCUUAUGAACACAAACAGCAGAAUACUUAAAUACAUUUGAAACAUUCACAUUGAAUUGAUUCUACAAAAUUUUGAAGAGCAACAGCUUUUGAAUUUAGAGCUAUAAUCAGUACCCUAAAGUUUUUACCACUGAGUUACUACCUAGUAAAAAUAUGUUAUAUUUGCAAUAAAAGUACACAUUGUAAGGACAUAAGAAUUGUCAUCAAGGUACACAAACAUUUUAGAAUUAUUAAACAUUUAAAUAAAUGGAAAUUUUAAAAAUAAAAUAACAAUAUUAUCAUACAAGUUAAUGAUCCAGUUUAUUAAUUUCUAAUUCUAUUGAUAAAACAAGGGAUUAUUUUUGAAAGGGUUUUUCUAUCUUUCAUACAAACCCUUUCCAAAAAUGUAUAGAUACAGUACGGAUUCUACCUGAUCAUUCUUGUGCAUAUGGUGAUGUAAGAAACCAAAAAAAUGUAAAUUAUUUUCAUAACACUGUGAAAACCAAUAUUUAAAAAUACAGUGCACAAUUAGUAGUGAGUAACAUAUAUAAAUUUAGAAAUAUUAUAUUUCUGUACACAAAGUAACAUUAUAAAUGAAAGCUUCAGGAAUAAUGAGCUACUUAUUAUUCCGGAAAUUAUAUAUCAAAAAUUUCAAAUAUAGAGGAAAAUUAAAAACCCACUCAUGACCCAUGAAAAUUAAUAACCCAUUCGAUCAUACACUUACCAUGUAACUUUCUGUUAAUUUGGUAAUAAAUAAUGUCAAGAGAUUUUAAAUGAAAAUACUUAUUCUGAAACAUAAAAACAACAUCUGAGAUGAGCACAAAUGGAUCAAUAGAUACAUUAUUGAUUAUUUUGUAUCAUAAAAUACUAUCUAGUACAACAUUCUUUAAAAAAUUCAAUAUUUUUAUAAUGUAAGUAAAACGGGAAGAACUGUUAGAGAAAUGGGCAUCAGAUUUAGAUUAAUUCUGCCUCUAACGCAAAUUGUAGGCUGAGCCCUAUAUGUUCUUGACCAUUCUAAGUUUUACUACAUUAAAACACAUAAAAUAUUCUGCGAGGUUUUCUCCAAUGGGAUUUUGAAUCUCACUGAUGACUGUGAUUUAGGAGUAAUGUAGAGAGUUUUGCAACUAACUUUACUUUACACCGUUACUCCUUUUCUACUUGGGGGUUCAGUUCAACACGCUAGUAAAAGAAAUAGUCAUGAGAGCAUCCUAAGGAAAGUAGGCAAAAUGUUAGUGCCUCAUUAUAUUUACAAUCUUUACAAAACAUGUAUGUCAGUAAACCAUAUUAACAUCUAAAGCACAUGAUAUGUAGAAACAAAUUGUGACUACAAAAUGUGUCUUGUUUCUUAAAUAUGCUAAAUAGGAAAUAAAUCACAUCUACUUCAAUUUUUAAUCUGUGGACUUUGGCCUUAGUUUGUGUUUUAUUUUAUUUUUUUGCUUUUGAUUUUAACCACUGAAAUCAUUUACCAAUACUAUAAGCCAGGAAAUACAAUGUAACUGGCCAGUUGAGAAUUAAGCCUUCUCUUUUUAUUAUUACAAUCAAGGGGGGAAAUGCUUAUAUAUCUUCCUGCACAAAAUGUUUCAUUUAUCAAAAAAAAAAGUGAGAAAAAUAAAGAAAAUUUGGGUGAGAUAAAUAAUCCACAACUAUUAAUUCAACAGAUAUUAUUUAAGAAAUUCCUACCUGUAAUUUAUUUUCUAAUAUUUCUGCAUCCUUAGUAUUUAUCGCUCAAAGAUAUUUGCAGCCCUCAUAGCAGUGCUUGGAAAAGAGAUUUGCUCUGAAAAUUUAGAAAUAAAUUCCUGAGGUGAAUACAGUUCAAAACUAAAAUAUAUUGCUGUAUUAUAUUGGUUUUUCUCAUUUGAAAUUAAAAUCUAAAAAACCUUCAUAUUAGGUUGUGUGUGUCAAGCUGCCAUUAUAAAAACACUAAAUGAAUAAAAUUUCGCAAGCAAGGCAGCAUUAUCAGGCUAAGUACAUGUAGUGGGCUUAUAUAUGGUGAUGUUUUACAUAAUUCAGCUAUUAAUUCAUCUAUAGAUUUACAUUUCUUAAGUGCAAAAAAAAAUGUAAUUAUUUCAUUACAUAUGGAAUUCACCUCCCAAAUUUCUCAGAAUCUAAGAGAAAGGAUUGACAUUUUCUGAUAUUUCAUUUUUGCUUAAAAUUAAGUUCUUAGGAUGUUUAGAUUUUAUUAUAAAUAUUACAACUUAAAUUCCAGAGUUAUAAUGAACGGUCUAUGUUUUGAAACACAGAGGGAGAAUGGGGUAAUGACUGAAGUACUGUUUUUUCAGUUUAUUAGUAAAGAUCAGCUUAUAAGAUGUCAUUGUAAAGGUUUCUAUUGAUAAUUACCAUAAACAAAGAUUAAAACUUUAAAUACUAAGUUCUGGAUUUCUAAGCCCGGUGAAAGUUUGUGCAAUACCAUGCCUUGCAUUUAUGAUUUUUCUUUUAAAAUGAACUAUAAAUGAAGAAAUUUACACAGAAUUGGAAACUAUUCCUACUUUUAUUUGCAUUCUUCCUUCCAUUCAUUGCUAAUGUUCAACAAUAAAGCAUUUUAAUUCUAAAGGAAUUGUUGCUUUUAACUUGAGUGUGAUUAUUUUAGAUCACAUUUUAGAGCCCUCAUGUAGGUCAAUGAUACUUAGAAUUUUUUAUGUCAGAUUACCAUUUUUAAAUGUUCACACCUAAAAUUAGUCUACCAGUCCAAGAUAAAGAAUGGAAGUUUUUUUUUGUACUCCAUUUGAUUUGUUCAAUACUUCACUUUAAUCUUCAAGAUCCAGUAUAUUAUUUUUUAAAUUCUAAAGCAAAUGCUGAAAAGCCACAAUCCAGUAACACAGAAAUGAAUAAUAACACUAAUUUAUUCCUUUCAGAAAACACAAUGAUUGAAAUAUCUUGGAAAUAUUACAAUAUCAUACUGAAUGAGGUUGAUAAGGUAUUACUCUGAGUUUAAGUUCCAACUUAUUAAAUGUAAUAUUUGCUAGUCAUUCUGCAUAGUCAAGCAUAUAGACAGACAUAAUUUGACAGCAAAGGUUUUAUGACAUAGUAGCUAUAAAUAAAAUAUUUGUAAUUUUACAAGAAUCUAAUAUGAUUCAAAACCUAGUAAAGUCUACCUCCCCAAAUCGCUCUUUUCUUUUUUGAUGUAAUUUCUAUUUUUUAUAAAAUAUGUAUCAUAAAUUUGAAUAGAAAAUAUCUAGAUAUGUACACUGUAUAACCAUGCACAAAAGCUAAAGUUCGAUCAAUGAAUUAAUUUUAGUUAUUUUAACUAAAACUGGGCAGUUUAUUCCUACUACUAGAUUGCUCAAAGAGCAACCAAAUGUAAUUGAAGCCAAGCAAUUCACACUAUUUAUAGACAUUUUUCAGAAUCACCUGCUUUGUAGUGAUUUUUUUCAGCAGUUGUAAAGUUUUGAUUUUUAAGAGUCCCUUUGAAGACGUGGCAGAUGUUGGCUUUGCUAAUAAUGCUGGAAAGCGUAGCAGGUUCAAAGUUACAAAAAUGUUUAACACAUAUAAAAUAUAAUGGUGUGUUUUUCUAUUAAAUUUGGUUAUUUUCAAUUGUCAAUAAACUUACAUAAAGGAAGCCUAAAGUCCAUAAAUAUUUGCUUCCAAAACAUGAAGCUGCUAGAGUUUGCAUAUGUGUGUGUCCAUGUGCAUUUGUGGAGGGAAAGUGCAUAAAAUAUAUGCUAGAGAAGCUUACGUAUUAUAGUUUUAAAUCGUUACUAUGAAUAAAAUUGUAAGGUUUAUAAAUAUUUAAGCUGUUUUUCAAUACUUUCUGGUGCUUAAAAUUCUAUUAGAAUUUAACACGGUAAUUAGAAUUAGCACAUACACAUACAGUCUAAGUAUUAGAUGCAGGGAUACAGAAUUUUGGUCCUGACUUUACCCUGGAUUUAUGUACUGAAUUUUCUCUCAACCAUAAAUGCAAAGUAAUUAUAAACUACCUAACAAAAUACAAAUGAUCUCACUAUAUAGGAUGACAUUUUUAUCUAAUACAAUUUUAAAUUUCAGGAGUUCCGAAAUCACUUCAAUUUUAUAUUUUAGAAAUAUUGAAAUACUAAAAUGUGCUAUAAGCAAUGAGAGAUAUACGUAUUAAUAGCAUACCAGGAUCAUAAUCAUUUUCAAUAUUGUUUUAGUUUGUGCUAGAUCAAGAUGUCUAUGAAAUAAAAUAUCUUUGAAGAUAAUUUAUGGAACACCUAAUGCAAUUGUUACACGAGAAAGAUAUCUUUAAUUUAAAUCUAUCUCAAUAUCUGACAAAUAUACCUUCAGCUGAAAUUGGCAAAUAAAAUUUUAUUUUCAAUAAGUGUACAUAGAUUUAAACAGAAACUAUUGUGAUUUUCCUUUUAGUCAAUAUUUCUUCAACAUAUCAAAGGAAAGAAAAGCUCAUUCUAAAUCCCCAGUAUUUUUAUCCUUGGUGAUGACUAAUUGUACUUUCCACUGAAGUUUUAAUCUGUUAAUAAUUUAUGUAGCUGACACAAACACUUAUAUUUGCUUGUUUUUCCAGUACCCUCAUUAUCAGCUUCAAAAUGUAGAAAUGAAUUUAAUUUUGUUAAAUGGUUAUUUCCCACUAAGUUGGGGGGGAGAGAUAAAUUAGUUUUGUUAAAUUAUUCCAUUUUUUAAAAAAAUUAUUAAAAUAAAUUAAGGGAAUCAGUUAUUGAAUUCCGUUUUCUCAGUUUUCCCCAAACAAAAUAACAUGUGCUUGUAUGAAAAUUGUUUGCCCUGAGAAACUUAAGGGCAAUGGCUCAGUUCAGGAAGCAUGAAGAACAAUCUAUCAUGUAGGUUUCUCAUUGCAAGAAAUAAAAUGAACCGUAAGAGCUUAUGGGAAUUGCAAGAGUACGCUCAUCAACCCGAACUGGGAUCUGCUUCCAAAGUUACACUGAUAUCAAAUGUUCAGUUUAUGAAAUUGUCACUGCAUUCUAAAAUCGACUGUUUUUCUAAUAAAAAUUGAAACCUUUUUGCUAUGAUUAACCUUUCAACUCACUAUCUAAAGAGAGUUUCACUUAUAGUUAGGAAAAUACAUUAAAUAUCAGUGACACUACUGGUAAUUUUCUUAUAAAAACUAAUUUGUGAUGGAACAUUAAAAGUUCACCCCCUGACCUUGGAAAAUAAAAGUUAGCUUUUGAGACCGUGAGAGAAGAAUCCAUCCUAUAGUAACGCUGAAGAACAAUUGAUAUUGCUGUGAAUGGUGAAGGAAUAUUAAAUAUGCGGCCAAUCAUUUUCAUUUAUGUGGCAUCUUACCUAAAGCUUUACACACGAUCAACAUUUUUCCAAUCCUUCAAACCAACAUAUGGGAUUACCUUCUAGGACUAUUAUUAACCCAAUUCCACAGAGGAAGAAAAAUAUGCAAAUAUUAUAUUAAACAAAUGACACCUUCCAAAAGUAUUUAAUCCAGGUUGCACUAUACCCACGAAAGAAAACUCACAAGUCUCUUAAUUUUAAAGUAUCUUUUAACAAUUUUAUAAAAAUACAGGUAGGUAAGAGCUUUGAAAACUUGUCUGGAAACUUUGAGUUUCUCUGGAUUGCUACAAUUUAUUCGGCACGUUGUGCCUUCAAGCACCAGAGGUCAGGAAGGUUCCCCUUUUGCAUGGCUGCUCAAAUUAUCCCCACUGAAAUCAGCGCCUCCUGCGCGCACCCUUGCAUACCCCUUUAGACACGUAUCUAACUAACAGUACCCGAGUUGCUGUUGCUUCGCAGUAUUUGUCUCUACUAAUACCCACUUGGUAGAGGGAUUUAUUUUCCACUUUUGAAACUUAGGUUCUGUAAUUAGCUUACACCACAUGGACAUGUACUAUUAAGGUUCGUCUUUCUUCCAGUGUGAGCAUCUAUUUAUUUACAAUUCUCUGACACAUUCCUUAAAAUCUGAAUUCCUAGAUAAUGUCUUCUUCCCCAAUAAAGGGAAAAUUUUACCAUUUGAAAUAGGGUGCUAUUUAAAGAACGCUGAAAUAAGAAUGUUAAAAAAAAAAAACUGAAACUUUUUUUUCUCAUGCGCUCUGCCAAGUUCCAUUGCAAGUUCCAAACAUUGUGCAAUAAUUUGGAAAUCCAGUUAACGAUGGGAAAAAUCGAGCCACUCAGAGUCGGCAACUUGCAAGAGAAAAGUCAAGAAGCGGCACCCGCACGCACGCCUGCCCAACGGACGCUGCAUCCCUGGGCGCACGCCCCUCCCUCCCCAGCGCUGGGAUGGAAGGUCACGCUUCACAAUCGAUUUCACAGCCACUUGUCCUUUUUUAUCAACCUUCUGGUAAACUAGUUUAGGACUUUGGAGGGCUUAGAGCUGCUGGCUGUAUACGCAUUGCUCUCGAAUAAACACGUGUCCCCAAAUAUCAGGACCAAAGCUUCACCGCCGAAUUUGGCCGCAGGAAGCCACAGAGGGCAACACAUUCCCAUCUUCCCUGCUGCCACCCUCCAGUGCGAGAAUCUCCCCUAGUAUCUCUCCGCCCCUUUUCCAGCCCGGCGCGCACUCUCGAGGGUGCCUGGCGCGCCCUUACCUGAGCUGUCGCUUUUCCUCUUGCCGCCGCUUCGCUUCUC
rnacentral:lncRNA from 1 species